CCUACGGGAGGCAGCAGUGGGGAAUAUUGGGCAAUGGGCGAAAGCCUGACCCAGCGACGCCGCGUGAGUGAAGAAGGUCUUCGGAUCGUAAAACUCUGUCCUUGGUGAAGAUAAUGACGGUAGCCAAGGAGGAAGCCCCGGCUAACUACGUGCCAGCAGCCGCGGUAAU
rnacentral:rRNA from 1 species